UUAAAAAAUACUGUUUGCAGUUGUUAAAUUCACAAUGAUAUAAAUUUAUCAAAAAUGUUAGCCGGAGCGUCAAAAAAUGAUGAAUUAGGACAGCCAGUUUCUUCAGAAUGGAGCUUAAAUUAUCAUCGACAAACAUUCCAGUACGUAGCGAUUCCGUUAAUUCAGAGUUAAGUAAAUCCGGGUAGCACUCGGUUAAAUUCUAGCCGUUGGACUGGAAAAAAGCUAAUCAAACAGUAGUUCUUUAUCUGGACAAAGUGUAAUCAGCGAGCCACCGGUCCUUCUUAGAGGUCUUGGAAUUUUUUACAAAGAAGUUAUUUCGCUAAAAUAAAUUGCUUCUAAUUAUA